rnacentral:sRNA from 1 species
ACACACUUUCUCCAACAAGGCCACACCUUCUAAUCCUGCCGCUCCCUGGGCCAAGCAUAUGCAAACCAUCACAGGGGGUAACUAGUAUCCUGAAGAAAUAACACUCACACCCUUAGGAAGAUUAUCCAAGCCAUUUGAACUCAUAAUAGAGAAGCACAGCUUGAUUCUGCGUGCAAAAAUCUACAAGUCACCUGGUUUGGAGCCACCAUGAGUGAUUUGCCUUUGUUUUUACACUUGAUCUUAGCCAAAGGGCCGAGAAGCAAUUGCCUUUGUUUUUAAAGAAAAGAUUCCAAACAAGGAAUGCAUAGGAUUCUGAUAGUUUAUAUCAUCCCUCAAACCUUCACUGCCUCUCCUCCAUCUCAGAAAACCGGAGUCAGUAAAUGGAUGUAUGAUGUCCAUGGUUUAGUUAAAACGAAGCUCCAAAUCUGUCCAGGUCUCUGCUGUAGCAAAGCUGCUGACAUAGUUGUCACGUACCUUCUAAGAGAUGCCCCGAGGCAUCGCAUGGACCUAAGGCAUCGGAGCCACAGGGCCUGUGUUUGCAUUUUAUACUUAACUGAGCCUUGUAAGUAAAGUGGUUCAACUUAGGAAGGUUUUCUAAGCUAGUGGGUAGAGCAGAAGAGAUUUCUUGUAAUAGUUAAUAACCAGGAAGCUCAGGCUUUCUGAUUAAUUGUGGCUUUCCUCCGUCUUGGUAUUUGAUAGCUUUCCUACAGUUUGGUUCAAAAGCUACCUCGAUAUCAUUAAGUUAUGUUGCAGUGUUCAGUAUUUGAGUCUGUUCAGCAGGGACACUUGAAAAAUCACCAGCUAUUUUUAAAAGCUUGUUUGUUUUCACCAGCUGUUUUGGGUUAAGAGGGUGUUUACAUCUUGAUGUACAGAAUGAAACAGCUAUAAGUAAUUUUUCCUGUAUACACUGCCAUCUUUCAUUACUUGGAAUGUCAUCCCCGAGAAGGUACAUGACAGCCAUGAUGUUAUGGUCCUAGAGAAUCUGUUCAGUGUCCUUGUGAGGUGUGUGUGGCUGUGUUCAUCCUGUGUGGAUGCAAUGGAGUAGCCUCGACUUACGUGUCCCAUAGCUAAGCACAUGUGUUCUAAUCAUGCCUCGGGCUCUUUGACUCUAUUUGUGCAACAGUCUUUCCCAGUGUGUGUUAAUGGAUGUUUAUCUUAAUUAAGCCAGCUCUGAAAUGCUGCCUGUUGGCUGUGCCAAGAACAGACAAUGUCAUAAUCUAAAAGUAUUUGCUUACUUUAUUGGUCUGGGUUUGAAACAUUCAUACUGAGUCUUUCCCUGAAAGAACAACAUGCCAAGAAAAGCAUUAACAAAAUCUGUUAACAAAAUCUGAACAGAAAGGGAGACAGACCAGAGUAGUGAAGUACAAAGAAGGGCUCGGAGGGUGUGACUCGGUGUCCAGAAGCUAGGGUCAGAAGGGAGCAAGUUAGACAGGGUCCUGUCAAAGAUAAAACAAAUUCCAGAUAAGACCUCUUGUUCUGAUGAAUUUGGUAAAAAUGUUCUUACUUGGGGUCCUGGGGGCGCUAAAAUGAGCAGAACUCCUAAACAGACACUGUAUUUGCACAUUGUGUGGAUUAUCUAUUUGUUGCAGGUUUCCAUUUCUCUCUCUCUCUCCCUCUCCCUCCCUCCCCCCCCCCUCUCUCUCUGUCGUGUGUGUGUGUGUGUGUGUGUGUGUGUGUGUGUGUGUGUGUGUGUGUGUGCGCGCGCGCGUAUGCAUGAUCAUGUGUGGGGAUUUUAUUUUGCUCCUAUAAUUAAGAAUUCUUGCCCUGAGCUAAGAACACAUACCUGUUAAAGCUUGAAAAUCCGUUUGAGACAAGUGAAUUAUGGAGAACUUUUACCCAGUUGUAAUUUAGAAAACAGAUGUUCUAUUCCAGGUUUACUACAAUUAUUUUUGCAAUGUAGGUUGUUUUGCACACCUGACUCAAGCCUGGAAGAGUACAUUUUGGUUAGGUCAUGUCAGGAAUGUCUCUCAGCUGUGGCUUUGCCAGGCUCUACAGAGGCCCCUCUGGUGCAGACCCAGGGUGACUUCUCUGUGCUCUUGUAGUGUGCUGAGGCCCAGAUGGAUACUUACUUGGCUUAACCUAAGGACACACUCUGAACUGCUGGAUUUCCAGGGGAGCAUGUGGAGUAUGUGCUUGUCACUCGCUAUUCAACAAACUGAAGUCACUUUGUUAGAGCUGCCAUGAAGUUAAAGAAUAAAUAAAUAAUUUCAAAAGCAUCCACCAUGUGACCAAAGUGAACACUUCGGCUCACCACAGACCACAGGUCACUCCUGAGUGCUGCACUCUACGUCAUGGUCAGGGUCUCUUAGUCUUUUUCUCCACUGCUCGAGGAAGUGGAACCAUAAACACUGGUGAGUAGAACCUGUUCUGUUGUUCAAGUUGGAUUUAAUAAUUUAAUAAUAUCCUCACUGAAGAUCAGCAAGAGAAUCCCCUGCAACCCUAAGGGUUCUGAAUGGGUUAGUGAGGACCAAGCAGGCAGGAGUGCGGCAAAAAUAUGUAAGUGCCACUUGCGAGAGGCGUUUGAUCAUGUUCAUCCUGCUCUGGGGCUGCUGGCUGAUAGCAGCCCCUGCUGCUGACUCUUAAGUCAUGUCCAGGAACCUCUAGGCAGGUGAAAUUCAGUAAGUGUUGGCCCCUGUGUGCUUGGAAGCCAUAUGCAUCCUGUUUAUAAUAGUGGCUGUGAUUGACACAUUGGUACCUGGUGUCCUGUGCUUUGGCAAUGCUGGUGUGUAAACAGUUACCUCUGCACACCUGAGAGACUCUAAGAGACUACAGAGAGGAGUUCCUGGAUCAGUACUGUAGCAUCACAAAUCCUUCCUAGCAUUGCCUUGGCAACAAACAGUAUUUUCAGCCCAGCCUCACCCCUGGUUCACAUUUGCCCUUUUCUACUGUAUUCCAUGGCACAGCAAUGCAGGCGUCACCCAAGUUCACGGGACUCAGUCAGGGACCAUCUGAGAUCAGGAGACAGGAAUUGUGCCUUCCAUACCCAUGAGGGUCCUCCGACUUCCCCAGCUCUGUCUUGGCCAUCUGACUGUUUUAUGCCAGCGCUCUGUGUCAAGGCUAGGUUACAAACAACCUUGCCUAACGGUGAACAAACAAUAUGUUGCCUUUGUACAUUGCGCUCCAGUAAUGCUUAUCUGUGCCUUUAGUAUUUCUGUGUGGUGUACCUUAAGGCAGCCUGGGAGCAGGAAACACCACCUCAUUUCAUUUGAGAGAACAAAACGUGGGUCAAUAAUGACUUUGGAUGGUACCAUGCCAAUUGGCAGUGGUAUUGAGUUGCCACUUGGGUUUGGGUUUUUAUUUAGAAGUUGGUGCACAUCUGUCUAUGCUGUCUUGUGUCUCAGAAGGGAAAUUCUUGGCAUAUAUAAUAGCAGUAGAGAGAGUAUAGAGCAGACAUAGAAGGAAAAUAGAAUUGUGUGUUCUACAACAUGUCUCUGGGUAUAGCCAUGUUGUCUUCACAGCAAUCUCGAAGGCAUUCUUUCCUACAGAUGAGCUGUCCAAGCCCUAAAGAUGUCACACGGCUUCACCCACAGCCAGUGUGGUCCUUGGUUGGCACCAGGAUUGUAACCCGGAUUGAUCUCACUAAGAACUCAUGCUCUUAGCUACUAGAUAGUCUUAAACCACAUCACAUAGGAGCCUGUAUAACCACAUGUGUAUGCAGGUAUACACUUUUUACAUGCUAAACAGUCAAUGCCAACUUCUGUGGUAAGACAUCCUGAAAGGAAUAAAAUAGUUGGCUAAAAUCCCUGAACUUCUAACCAUAACAGGACAGAUGCUCAAGGGUAUGGGAUUAGAGCACCUAGGUCAAGGCAUCCAGACAUUUUAGUGUUUGUGUUAUUGGUGAGUCACAUGUUACAGGCCCUUGCUUUCCUAAGAUGCUGCCAGAAUACUCUGGUUCUUUGGCUUGGAGUAAUUUUGUGACAAUUCUGCUGAGAGUCUCUAUGUGUGAAAACAGGAAACAGGGAAUAGCUUUCUACCACUGCGACUGCUUGGAUUUAGACUCCCUGGUUCUCUCCUACUUGUGCUGUGAUCUUACAGGUUUCUGAAACCUUUCUGCCUUAGUUUUCUCCUGUGCACACUGAGUAUGGUUGUGAUUGUAAAGUGAAUGGAUAUAGGGAAAGCCCUGGGACCAGCACCAGGCAGAAAGCCAUGGCCACCAUGCUCAUGAAUGUGAUAAAUCUUUGCACAAAGCUCUUUAGAAGCCUUCCCUAGGGGAGGAUUCUGUUGCAAUGUCUAGCAUGCGGUGGUGCCCUAGCCAGACACAUGUGUGGACUUACGGACAGAGCAUACAUCCAAAGAGGGAAAGGAAUUGAGUGACCCAUGCCUGCUGUAUGUCGGGUGCUCUGUUGAGGAAAUAUUUCAUUACACACUUUAAUAACCUGAAGAAGGGAUGUAGUGUUACCGUGAGAGGUAAGCGAUGCCUUUCAGUCUCCCUCCCAGUCUCAAGGCACAGGUAUGCUGGGGAUCCCUGUCCUAUCCAGUAUGGCACAAGAAUCCAGGCAUCAACAGACUUUGCUUUGAAUAUAGCUGUCUGUGUACCUGACAGUCCCGGAUGCUACCUUCCCUGGUGCCUCUGUGAGUCCCUAUUGAUAGGAAGGUGAGAGGGAGGAAGUGAGCAGCCAGCAGCCUGCAGCCUACAGUUCUGUCAACCGAAAGGCAUUCUUGAAAAGUACAAAUAUAGCACGGCUAUAAAAAGAUUAAGGUGCACUGCUCUGAAAACUGAGAACCAGUAGGGAGUGCCAUGGUGGCCAACUGACAAAGUGGAGAAGCAAAUUUUGCAAAACUGGAAAACCAGGGAAAGUCAGGCUAAGUGGAGACGCUGACAAAUCAGACUACAGCUAGCCAGGCCUGAACUAGAGGCUGGCAAGCAGAAAACGGUAAGCGGUGAGGCUCCCUGAGGGAUUCCAGUGAGUUCUCUUUCUUUGGAAGCAUGACAGGGGUCCUGGGGACCAGUGAACUGUCACCAUGGGCUGGGGUGUUUCUGCCCUGCUCACUAGCACUGCAGAACUGAGGUGGAGUGCAGGGAGGCUCCCUCCUUGGCCUGUGGGCUUCCUUUUUAACCUCUACUGUCCUCCUCUCUCCCUUUUCUCCACCACUGUGUGACCUCCCCACCUAGGCCUCCCCAGCCUGUGGUUCAGAGCUUCAAGGCAGAUCUCCCAGUAAGCUGUCCUGCACCGCUGCUACUGAGGACAAAGCAAGCAAAGGUCUUUUCUGACUUUGGUUUAGAGGUAAUCAUACUUCAGGCUUUUACUUCACUGUAAACCCUGCCUGUAGCGUAACAUUAUAAUCUUAAUUCAACUGUUGCUAUUCUGUGUGUGGCCUGGCAUCCAGAAAUUAGGUAAAGAGCUGCACAGAGAGAAUGCCAGAGGGGAAACUUGGAGGCCUGCCAGGCUGCAAUCCUCACGGAACUGUGUUCUUGUAUGGGCUAGAGGCCCUGCAGGUGAGAAGGACAGUUAGGCAAGAUAGCAAAAAGAGCCAUGUAUGUGUGUCCUGACCCCCAACCCAAAGCAGAAGCAGAACCCUGAGGGCUUUUAGAAAUCUAAAAGGAUUUCCUUCAACUUUUAAAAAAAUUACACAUUCUAUAUUGUGCACGUCUGUGCCACAGUGUAUGUAUGGAGUCAGAGAGCACUGGGAAUCAGCUCUACAUCCCACCAUGUGGUUCCAGUGACGGCGCCGUUCUGCUGAGCCAUGGCAACAACUUGCUCACUCACUGUUGCAUCAAGGAGUGACAAGCCUGUUCCCAUAGACCUUGGCUAUGGCAGGACAUUCUGGGUAAAUGGUAAGCUGCUUGUAAACAUCCUAGCAGUCUCGGGUGUACUAAUGUUCCCCUGACCUGCCACCAGCACGGAAGAGAAAAACUUCUCCAAGCAUUCAUGCAUUCAUUCUUUUUAAUGUGACAUUUUGCUUUAGGAGGUGACACAAAACCAUGGUUUUCUGGAGUCGUUUGUUGUCGCUGCUACCAUCCUCUGGCUCAGGAGCAGCUAGGCUUCUUGGCACCACUGCUCAGCAUUCCAUCUCCAGUGUCCAAGCGCUUUCCACCCAGACUGACCACAUCGCCAACCAUGCUGAGCUCAGAUUGCUUCUAUUCCAGAGGCCAUGCCACCAAGACUGCUCAGCUGCCUGCUGGUAGAGUCUGUCAUUCCAUCCAGGGUGUUCCAGUCCAGUUGUUGAGACAGGCGUCCAGGAGAAUACCAAGGACUCUAGCAGGCUGCCUGAACCGAUCCUCACUGAUGAUCUAGACAGAAGGAGUUCAGACCGAAGUCACCACCCAACCAGGUCACUGAAGUUCACAGGAGGAAGCCCUGAAGUCUGGUUUUUCAAGUCCCCUCCUCACACAGCUGGGGCGACAGUUUACACUGAGGUGCCCAAGACUCCACCACACCACUCCAUUAGACCUGGCCUAUGGCCUACAGACUUAUCCCUCCACCAAGAGCCCUGGAGGACAAGAGUGGGGACAAGAGAGGAAAAGAUGGCUGGCCAGAGGGAGGGAAGGAAGGAGGCAGAAGGACCAAGGUGAAGAUUCCUGUCUACCAAACUUCUGAUCAACAACCUGAAACGGUACGUUCUAGACUUGAAGAGUUGAGCUUUCUCAACACAAGAGAAGAGGAACUGAAUUCACCUCCCAACAGCCUCAGCAGCAGCUCACAGGCUCUGGCUAGCAGCCCUCUUAUCACACCUGACACUGAAGCAGCAAUGACAAUCUUGUCACAAAGACUAACAAGGGCUUAAUGAGGCAGCCAAUAGGAACAGCCUGGACUCCAGUUGGGCGUGAAGUCAGUUCCAGUUGUGGACCAGCACUGCGUACUCCUGUGUCCAUCACCUGAGCGAACUGUGAUGCUCAGGUCUUGGCAAUGUCCCCUGCCACUGGGAGGAAGCCCUCUGGGCGGCAUGUCAGGGAG